rnacentral:misc_RNA from 1 species
GUAGGUGAACCUGCGGAAGGAUCAUUAACAAAUCAAUACACACGAUCUCCUGGCGCAAGCUGGGAGCAUCUACACACGAUAAAUUUUGACGAAAAUUGAGACGAUCAAUAGAAUCAACUUUUAACAAUGGAUCUCUUGGCUCUU